GCAAAGUAGGAAACCGUGCGUUAAGUGAAGAGAGGACGGGAAGUUGUCUCUCUUACGAAAAGCAAAUUUUGCUUGCGGUGCGAUUUCCGCAUUCCGUUG
rnacentral:ncRNA from 1 species